AUUGAACGCUGGCGGCAUGCUUUACACAUGCAAGUCGAACGGUAACAGGCCGCAAGGUGCUGACGAGUGGCGAACGGGUGAGUAAUGCAUCGGAACGUGCCCAGUCGUGGGGGAUAACGCAGCGAAAGCUGCGCUAAUACCGCAUACGAUCUAUGGAUGAAAGCGGGGGACCGAAAGGCCUCGCGCGAUUGGAGCGGCCGAUGUCAGAUUAGGUAGUUGGUGGGGUAAAGGCUCACCAAGCCAACGAUCUGUAGCUGGUCUGAGAGGACGACCAGCCACACUGGGACUGAGACACGGCCCAGACUCCUACGGGAGGCAGCAGUGGGGAAUUUUGGACAAUGGGCGCAAGCCUGAUCCAGCAAUGCCGCGUGCAGGAAGAAGGCCUUCGGGUUGUAAACUGCUUUUGUACGGAACGAAACGGCUCUGGUUAAUACCUGGGGCUAAUGACGGUACCGUAAGAAUAAGCACCGGCUAACUACGCGCCAGCCGCCGCAGUAAGAC
rnacentral:rRNA from 1 species